rnacentral:lncRNA from 1 species
CUGGAGAGGGCGAGAGCCCGCGCGGCAGCGGGGCGGGGUGCCAGGGGCUGCAGCGGUAGGAGCCCGGGGGCUGCACAGGAGGGAGGAGGCAGCAGCCGCAGCUGGAGAGGGGAGGUGAAGAGGCGGCCGCACCGGCAGGGGAGAUGCUGCUGCUGCUUUGGGAGCCUCGGGUGGCGUGUUAGGCUGGUUGGGGGGUGCAAGCUCCUAGGACGCGGGGAGAGAGCUGGCAGAUGUCCCAAGCGAGGGAACCUCUUCCUCCGGGGCCUGAGGGGCCGGCGCCUGCAGCUCCGACUGAACGCAGCCUUCUGGUCUCGCUGCCUCGCGCUGGCAGCUUUGAUUUCAAGAAUUCUGAUAGCGAUAUAAAAUAAGUCUCUGAAGAAUAGAAAGGAAGAAUCUAAUUUAAAAUUGCUUCAGUUACCAGCUAUGUAUAAAGUUACACAGCAUGAUAACACAGUUGUACAACUGUAUAAUAAAGCCACCCUCUCUUCUUUGGC